GUCUACGGCCAUACCACCCUGAACAGGACUGAUCUUGUCUGAUCUCAGAAGCUAGGCAGGAUUGGGCCUGAUUAGUACUCGAAUGAAAAAAUGAAGCAAUAUCAUCUCUCAGUAAUAU
rnacentral:rRNA from 1 species